rnacentral:rRNA from 1 species
GUGCGGGUUUGUUCGCUGUCGGAACGGAGAUGGCGCGGGCCCCCGCGUCGUGUGGCCGGGUCGAGGAUGGACUGUUCACAGUGUGUCCCGACUGCCGGGUCGCUCGGCUGCGGGUGUUGCUCCCGUGAAAUUAAAGAAGCUCAGGGUCCGUGGCGAAUCGAUCGGCACCCCAUCAGACCCGUCUUGAAACACGGACCAAGGAGUCUAACAUGUGCGCGAGUCAUUGGGCUCUACGAAACCCAGAGGCGCAAUGAAAGUGAAGGGCGUUCUCGGAGCGUCCGAGGCAGGAUCCGUCCACGUCUCUCAUCGGUUGGGGGCGGCGCACUGCCGGCCCGUCUCGAUCGCCACGUCGAUGAGGCGGAGCAGGAGCGUACACGUUGGGACCCGAAAGAUGGUGAACUAUGCCUGAGUAGGACGAAGUCAGGGGAAACCCUGAUGGAGGUCCGUAGCGAUUCUGACGUGCAAAUCGAUCGUCGAAC